GUGUCAGCCGCCGCGGUAAUACCGGCAGCCCAAGUGAUGGCCGAUCUUAUUGGGCCUAAAGCGUCCGUAGCUGGCCACGCAAGUCCAUCGGGAAAUCCACCUGCCCAGCAGGUGGGCGCCCGGUAGAAACUGCGUGGCUUGGGACCGGAAGGCGCGACGGGUACGUCCGGGGUAGGAGUGAAAUCCCGUAAUCCUGGACGGACCGCCGAUGGCGAAAGCACGUCGCGAGAACGGAUCCGACAGUGAGGGACGAAAGCCAGGGUCUCGAACCG
rnacentral:rRNA from 1 species